rnacentral:lncRNA from 1 species
AGCCCUAGUUCAACCCCUAGCACCCUAAGAAAGCCCCGAGGCUCCCGGAGUCCCGAGAAAAAGGAGUCUUUCGGUUUCGAAACGCUCCAAUUAAAUUCCGGUUUUCGAUAAAAUUCGCUGUAAGUGUGCUACGCUUACGUAAUUUUUAAUAUGGCUUUCAAAUAAUUAUAGGAAUGUUAUUAGGUCCUUAAAAUAAUUAUUUGGGCUAUUAUUAUGAGUUAUAUUGAGUGUUAUUUAACGCUUAUAUAAUAAUAAUAAUAGCUAGACUAAUUAAUUUGUCGCGAUUAUCGUUAGACUAAACCCUAGUGGUAUUGAUACUAGGUUUUAUCGAAGAAAAUUGUUUUGAGAGUAUCGAAGCGCUGUCUGAGUGCUGAAUCAUCACCUUUCAAGUGAGUGCAUGGUCCCCUUCAACUUACACAUAGAUAUGAAGUAUUUACUACGUGCUAUGUGUGCAUAUUGUCUGUUUACUUGCUGAUUAUGCUCGGUGAAAGAUUUUAUACAUGUUUUAAAUGAUUUAAACUAUAUAUGUAUUUUAUAUCUACGAAAAUGUUGGGGUAAAACAUGGGUAGAUAUAAUAGAUGAAAUAUGAGUUGGAUGAUGAGUUGAGAGGUGAUAUAGACUAUGAGGUGUGGGUGAGAGGUGUACGAUGUGAGAAGCCUUUUUCCCAAACGAUGUCCCCGUCAUUCAGCAGAGUAUGGAUGACAACCACGGACUAUUCUAGACAGUCCAGUGGAACACUAGCAGGCUCGCAACCUGUAGGUGUUGUGAACGAUGUGUUCACCCGGUGUACUCUAAACCUUGGUGAUCAUGCAGACUUGAUACCUAGACCCUGGCAAUCAUGCAGACUUGGUGCCAAAACCCUGGCGACUAUGCAGACUUAGUGCCUAUUGUAUAAAUUCUGGCGACUAUGCAGACUUAGUGCCUAAACCCCGGUGACGAUGGACUUCGUGCCGAUUCCUUAGGAUGAUCCUUAGGAAUGUAUGAACGAGGAAUGGUUGAUUCUUAGGGUAGAUCCUUAAGAAUAAAGAAGAUAAUGGGGAUGGGUAAUUGGGUUGAUUGUUUGAUUGUUUGAACAUAAUAAUUAUAUUAUUGUGGGUUGAAAACCCUAUGUACUCACCAGGUUUCCCAACCUGACCCACUCAGUUUAUUUAUAUCACAGGUGUUGAUAUGAAGUCACAUUACACUGAGAGAUUUAAAGAGAUGUAGAUCACUAGUGUAAAUAAAUGUAAGUUCUGUUUAUGCUUAUGUUUCUGUAUUAACGAUGACAUCCCAAACGUUUUAAAAUGAAUAAAAUACGUUUCUUCGAAAAUGUUUUAAUAACGUAUUUAUCAUGUUUUUCUGGGAACAAAUUCCGCAACAUUUUUAUUAAAAGAAGUACUCUGAUUUUUAUAAAGCAUAAACAAAAUCGGUCUUUUCUGGCCGUGAAAAUGGGGAUGUCACAGUUGGUAUCAGAGCAUUAGUUUAAGCGAACUAGGAAUAUGGAUUUAUUUCUAGACUUAAACUUAGAAUGCUAAGCGAUGAUUGUGAGGUGUGAGCACUAGCUUAUUUUAGGAAUUAUGCCUAAAAUGCUUUUAUGUGCUAAAUGCUUUGUGCCUUAUAUGCUGUUAUUUAUUCGGAUCUAUGGUCUGUUGCCGACCGGAUCUGGAAACCUUAUAUGUUUAGGAUUCUAAACGUACGAAUACGAUAUUAGAACUAGCAUGUAAACGUUUCAGAGUGAUAAGGAUGAUUUAAACGUCAAUCCUAAGAAAAGGUCUAGAUUCACGUCAUUCGGUGUAUAGAUCAAGAUGGUAAGAACACGUAGCGGAAAUGUGAAUGCAAAUGGGAACCAAGAUCAGCCCCCAGUGAUUGAGCAAAUACCGGUUGUGGUAGCCGCUGCUGAGCCAAUAACGAUGGCCGGAGUGCAAGCGAUGAUCCAGGCGAUGUUGGAUCGUCAAAUGGAGGAAACCAGAUGUUUGCUCCAGCAAAACCGAGAGGAAGUGACCAUACAGAUUGAACAGCCCAAGUUGAACGAAGGGCAGACUGAGGAGGGAAACUACAGUGGGACUGUUGGUCAAGCCAACCCACCGAUAGUUAGGCAAAACCACCAGGAUGGAGGAAAUGACGGACGUGGAUGCAAAUACAAGGAUUUCAUGGCGUCCAAACCACCGAGUCUAUCUGGAAGCCCGACGCCGGUGGAAGUCAUGAACUGGAUCUCCGAGAUGGAGACGAUGUUUGAGAGUUGCGAGUGUAGCAACAGGCAAAAGACCGCUCUCGCGGUUCCUCUGUUGAAAUCUGGAGUACUAAGCUGGUGGAAGUUACUAGCUGAUUCGAUGCCCAAAGGAGAAGCGAGCAAGAUGUCAUGGGAGGAUUUUCUGGUGCAGCUAAAAAUGCAGUACUGCUCUGAACAGGAUCUUCUGGAGAUCAACAACGAGUUUCAGAAUAUAAAGAAGGGAAAUAUGAGUGUCAUCGAGUAUGCUGCGAAUUUUACGGAGAAAAUGAAGCUUGUUCCUUAUCUAGUUCCAACUGAGCUCUCCAAGGUCAAUAAGUUUGCCCAUGGAUUACCAGCAGACUUUGGACCAAUGGUCAAACAAGCAACCACUUUGAAAGGAGCCAUCUGGGCAGCCAGGAAUGUUGAGACCCAGAUUAGGGAAAAAGGUCUAGAGAGAGCUGAAGUUGGCAAGAAAAGGAAGCAUGAAGGAUCUUCAAAAUCCAACAAGGAAAAGAAAUUCUCAAAAACGGAAGAAGGAGGAGGAGGUGAAUCCUAGUGGUGCGAGAAAUGUAGAAAGAAGCACUUCGGGAAAUUUGACGAGGAGGUGACUUGCUACAAAUGUGGAAAGACAGGGCAUUACGCCAGCAAGUGUGCGUCCAAAAAGAAGGUGUGUUAUGGAUGUAACAAAGAAGGGCAUAUUUCUAGGGACUGCCCGGGGAAAAAUAAAGUGGCAAGACCAGAAACGCCACCAAGGCCAAGGGCAUUCCACAUGAUCCUCGACGAAGCAGAAAACCAUGCGAGGAAUCAAGGAUGAGGACUUCAUAUCCGAAGAUCAAGUUAUGCAGUAGCCAUAGUAUCGUAUGAUGUAGCCUAUUAGAGGCAUAGUCUAGGGUGAACUUGAACACCUAUGUAAUAGUUUCAAGAAAUAAUAAAACCUUUGUUUUGUUAUCUGAUGUGUUAAACUUUUAUGUGAUUUUCUUGAAUGGUGACUUGGGGACUGCGAGACAAUACUUGGGACGAGUAUGAGUAGGUGUGAAAGGUAGUAGAUGCAUAUACUAUCGGAAGCACAGGACUCACGCUUGGAUCAGGGAAAGUCACAAGGUUACCAAGAAACUAGUAAAUGAUUUUGUUUCAUUUAAGUAUGUCAUUACCAUUGUUUCGGUAAUGAUUAAAAAGAUUGUUGAUAUUCCAACCCGAGUGGUCAUAUCAAAUUGAGUCCGACUACGAUAAGUAUGUUACGUGGUUCAGAGAACCAAGUUCGAUGUAGCACCGACUUAAGCCGGAAGAAUUAAUCAAAGCAAUCAGUAGAGGUAUCACGAAGGUUGCUAGAAAUACUACCAUUUUAAGAUGUGAUCUAGAACAUGAAGGAAGGUAUAGUCUGUUCUGUAAUUUGACUCUAAGAGACUUGAGUCUAAGCUUUGCAACAUAUGAUGAGAGGUCAUUAGAAUAUGACACAUCAGUCCAUUGAAGUAAUAAAAGAACUUAUCUCAAGUUCGUAUCAACUGAGGAUUGACAUUGUGGCUUGAAGGUCAUAAUUUAGAGUCUAAUGUGAGAUAGAGAGCGGAUGUAGGAUCGAGCACCGCCUGUAGUCAAGGAGUCCAAGAGUUAGAUACUCAUUCGAAGAAACAUCGAAGUUAUGAAUUAGGAUGAAGAGAUAACGUAUGGAGUCAUCAUGUGAGCCCUGUUUCGUUGAUGAUUCCGGGACGUAAUCAUCCUAAGGGGGAGAUAAUUGUAACGCCCGUAAAUCCGGGCUAGUCAAUUAGAGGCAAUAGGGGUCGAAAAUGACUUUUCGACAAAACAUUAUUUAAAACAAAUAAUCUUAACCAAGUUGUAGAAUAUGUCACAAGGUUUCCGUUCAUAUAAAGAACACCGAAAUCCGAGUUAUAACGAAGAAGUUAUGACCCGUUGAAAUUUCGCGAUGGAACCAACACGAUACCGGAAGCGUAAAUAGUGAAUUUACGAAAGAGCGAGAUUUAGCCUUAGCGAUCUAAACGAAAGUUGUAGAAUAUGUUAAACUAAGAACAUCGAUAAAAAGAACGCCCAAAUCUGACUUCGUAUGAAGAAGUUAUGAUUUUUCGAAGUUUCGGACUAGCAGUGUACAACCCGAAAUUCGAAUAUUAUAUCGAGCGGUUUUUAGCCGACACGACCUAAACGAUAAUCGAAGGUCUUGUUAAAAGUAGCGUAACAAGAAAAAGAUGGGCGAAAACGGACGUCGGAUGAAGAAGUUAUAAGGAUUUAACGGACCAAUCGUGUCCCGGCCCGUUCAUAAUAUAAAAUUUAAAAUCGAGCCAAAAUUAGNCCUCGCAGUACGCCCCGCGUCCGAAGAGGUUACGCCCCGCGUAGGUCCGAUCUGAUCCAUCCGAUGGGUGCAAGACAGCUGGGUCCGAGCUGGUGAUCUUAUCCGAGGAGUACGCCCAACGUACCCUCGGUACGCCCAGCGUAAUGUCCGAGGCCUGACCCUAUAAAUUGAGGUGCGAGGUUGUCAUUUCUCUUCACCCCAAAACCUCUUCUUUCUCUCACUACUUUCUCUCUCUAGCACCUCUAAACACCCCUAAGCCCUAGUUCAACCCCUAACACCCUAAGAAAGCCCCGAGGCUCCCGGAGUCCNGUCCCGAGAAAAAGGGUCUUUCGGUUCGGAAACGUUGCUCCGAGAAAAGCCCGGUUUUCUUAAAAAUCCGCUGUAAGUGAGCUACGCUUACGCAAAUUUUAAUAUAACUUUCAAAUAAUUAUAGUAAUGUUAUUAGGUCCUUAAAAUAAUUAUUUGGGAUAUUAUUAUGAGUUAUAUUGAGUGUUAUUUAACGCUUAUAUAAUAGUAAUAAUAGUCAUACUAUUAAUUUAUCGCGGUUAUCAUUAGACUAAACCCUAGUGGUAUUGAUACUAGGUUUUAUCGAAGAAAAUUGUUUUGAGAGUAUCGAAGUGCUGUCUGAGUGCUGAAUCAUCACCUUUCAAGUGAGUGCAUGGUCCCCUUCAACUUACACAUAAAUAUGAAGUAUUACUACGUGUUAUGUGUGCAUAUUGUCUGUUUACUUGCUGAUUAUGCUCGGUGAAAGAUUUUAUACAUGUUUUAAAUGAUUUAAACUAUAUAUGUAUUUUAUAUCUACGAAAAUGUUGGGGUAAAACAUGGGUAGAUAUAAUAGAUGAAAUAUGAGUUGGAUGAUGAGUUGAGAGGUGAUAUAGACUAUGAGGUGUGGGUGAGAGGUGUACGAUGUGAGAAGCCUUUUUCCCAAACGAUGUCCCCGUCAUUCAGCAGAGUAUGGAUGACAACGACGGACUAUCCUAGAUAGUCCAGUGGAACACUAGCAGGCUCGCAACCUGUAGGUGUUGUGAACGAUGUGUUCACCCGGUGUACUCUAAACCUUGGUGAUCAUGCAGACUUGAUACCUAGACCCUGGCAAUCAUGCAGACUUGGUGCCAAAACCUUGGCGACUAUGCAGACUUAGUGCCUAUUGUAUAAAUUCUGGUGACUAUGCAGACUUAGUGCCUAAACCCCGGUGACGAUGGACUUCGUGCCGAUUCCUUAGGAUGAUCCUUAGGAAUGUAUGAACGAGGAAUGGUUGAUUCUUAGGGUAGAUCCUUAAGAAUAAAGAAGAUAAUGGGGAUGGGUAAUUGGGUUGAUUGUUUGAUUGUUUGAACAUAAUAAUUAUAUUAUUGUGGGUUGAAAAC